rnacentral:rRNA from 1 species
AACUACCUGCAGUCGACGGCAGCGCGGGCUUCCGCCUGGCGGCGAGUGGCGAACGGGUGAGUAAUACAUCUGAACGUGCCCUGUUGUGGGGGAUAACUAGUCGAAAGAUUAGCUAAUACCGCAUACGACCUGAGGGUGAAAGCGGGGGACCGCAAGGCCUCGCGCAGCAGGAGCGGCCGAUGUCUGAUUAGCUAGUUGGUGGGGUAACGGCCUACCAAGGCGACGAUCAGUAGCUGGUCUGAGAGGACGAUCAGCCACACUGGGACUGAGACACGGCCCAGACUCCUACGGGAGGCAGCAGUGGGGAAUUUUGGACAAUGGGGGCAACCCUGAUCCAGCAAUGCCGCGUGUGUGAAGAAGGCCUUCGGGUUGUAAAGCACUUUUGUCCGGAAAGAAAUCGCGCUGGCUAAUAUCCGGCGUGGAUGACGGUACCGGAAGAAUAAGCACCGGCUAACUACGUGCCAGCAGCCGCGGUAAUACGUAGGGUGCGAGCGUUAAUCGGAAUUACUGGGCGUAAAGCGUGCGCAGGCGGUUUUGUAAGACAGGCGUGAAAUCCCCGAGCUCAACUUGGGAAUUGCGCUUGUGACUGCAAGGCUAGAGUGUGUCAGAGGGGGGUAGAAUUCCACGUGUAGCAGUGAAAUGCGUAGAGAUGUGGAGGAAUACCGAUGGCAAAAGCAGCCCCCUGGGACGCCACUGACGCUCAUGCACGAGAGCGUGAGGAGCAAACAGGAUUAGAUACCCUGGUAGUCCACGCCCUAAACGAUGUCAACUAGUUGUUGGGGAUUCAUUUCUUCAGUAACGUAGCUAACGCGUGAAGUUGACCGCCUGGGGAGUACGGUCGCCAGAUUAAACUCAAAGGAAUUGACGGGGUACCCGCACAAGCGGUGGAUGAUGUGGAUUAAUUCGAUGCAACGCGAAAAACCUUACCUACCCUUUGACAUGUCACUAGCGAUGCAGAGACGCAUCACGUGCCCGAAGGGAGAGUGCCUCAGGUGCUGCAUGACUGUCGUCAGCUCGUGUCGUGAGAUGUCGGGUUAGUCCCGCAACGAG